rnacentral:rRNA from 1 species
AGCGAACGCUGGCGGCAGGCCUAACACAUGCAAGUCGAACGAAGCCUUCGGGCUUAAUGGCGGACGGGUGAGUAACACGUGGGAACGUACCUUUUGGUUCGGAACAACCCAGGGAAACUUGAGCUAAUACCGGAUGAGCCCUUAGGGGGAAAGAUUUAUCGCCGAAAGAGCGGCCCGCGUUAGAUUAGCUAGUUGGUGAGGUAAAGGCUCACCAAGGCUACGAUCUAUAGCUGGUCUGAGAGGAUGAUCAGCCACACUGGGACUGAGACACGGCCCAGACUCCUACGGGAGGCAGCAGUGGGGAAUCUUGCGCAAUGGGCGAAAGCCUGGCGCAGCCAUGCCGCGUGAAUGAUGAAGGUCUUAGGAUUGUAAAAUUCUUUUCCCAGGGACGAUAAUGACGGUACCUGGAGAAAAAGCCCCGGCUAACUUCGUGCCAGCCGCCGCCGUAAAAC